rnacentral:lncRNA from 1 species
UCAGGGGACAUGUGGCCAUUCAUUGCCUCCUUCAAAGCCGUCAGAGACCCUCCUCCAUAGGAUUUUCCUUUUCUCCUACAAGUCAAGACCUGGAACAUCAGCUAAUGGUAAUCCUCAGUUUAGCAUAGCUGCCCGCAAAGGAUUCCCCAGAGAAACAGAACCAACAGCAUAGAGAUUUAUCAUGAUGGAUUGGCUCACAUGAUUAGGAAGGCUGAGAAGCCCCACAAUCUGCCAUCUGCAAGCUGCAGCCCCGUGAAAGCCUGAUGGUCUAGUUUCAGUCCAAACUUGAAGGCCUGAGAACCAGGGGAACCAACAGUGUAAGUCCCAGCCAGAGUCCAAAGGCUGAAGAACCAGGCGCUUCAGUGUCUAAGGGCAGGAGAAGAUGGAUGUCCCAGCUCAGAAAUAAAGAGCAAAUUCACCCUUCCUCUGACUUUCUAUUCA